AUGAGAUCAUAAUGGGCAGUCAUCAUAAGAUCAUGUGGGCCAUUAGGCAGUCAUUGUAGGGGGCAAAUACUAGGCAAAUACUCGAGGAUUUUCCUCAAGACUACAGCAGGGAUUGAAACAUUUUAAUGCCCUCACCAUAUCAGGUCUGAUUUCAUUAAGUAUCAGCCGCUGCCAGUUGAUGCUGUUUUGGGGUGGCAUUCAACUAAACCAUGGGUAGGCAAACUAAGGCCCGGGGGCUGGAUCCGACCCAAUAGCCUUCUAAAUCUGGCCCACAGAUGGUCCGGGAAUCAGCGUGUUUUUACAUGAGUAGAAUGUGUCCUUUUAUUUAAAAUGCAUCUCUGGGUUAUUUGUGGGGCAUAGGAAUUCGUUCAUCCCUCCCCCCAAAAAAUAUAGUCCGGCCCCCCACAAAGUCUGAGGGACAGUGGACCGGCCCCCUGCUGAAAAAGUUUGCUCACCCCUGUAUUAACCACAAUGGCACUGAAUUGGCACCCCCCUUCCAACACCCACACAUUCUUUCACAAGUCGUACUGACUGUGUAAGAGAGAUCCUUAUAUUGCUCCUAUUUCUAUUGCAGAUCCAACUGGCUCACUUAGUUUUAUUAUAUCUGGUCCAAGUUAAAUAGGAGUUUCUUUAUGUGCUCUGUGGACAGCAUCGGCUUAGGAUACGGAGGGGAAAGACUGUUGAAUGAUUACAAUAGAUGGGAGUAGCAAGGGGAUCUAAAUGAAUCAUUACAGACUGUUCACAGUUUUGCUUAAAUGAAUCUAGCCUUUUCGUCUGCUAUCAAAUAUACAGUCAAAUUCAUUUGAAAAUAAUCGUCAAAAUCUCAAAAAUGAUUGACUACUGGGGACGCUAUAACUGAACUCUACUCAUGCUCACCCAGCUCAGUUUACUGGGAUACUAAAUGUGUGUAUCAAUUUAUCACUUCUGAGAUUAGUGUAAUAUAUAGUGUAUAAUUAUGCCCUUUAUUGCAGUAAGUACAGAAGGAUACUAAAGGAACCCCAGUGUACUCUUCCCAGCCUGGUCUCAGACUCACUAUUAGCAUAAAAGUUAAAUUCAUAGCUGUGUCUCAGCAGCGGUAACAAUCUUAAUUAAAGUUCAUGAGGCACUUGGAUGCCUUCAGAAGAAAUGUGUCUGAAGGAAUAUUAUAAUUGCCAGCUAAGAUUACUUUACAAAGCCCAAACUGAGAAUUGAUUUGAUAUUUUACUCCAGAGCAGGACUGCAAGACCUGUGACCCACGUGCUCUAGAUAACUUUGCUUGUUUCUGUGGAUUGGAGUCACAGUACAUGAGUAGUGUACUGUUUUUGGCUUGGUGGGCUGCAGGUUUUUAUUAUUAUUAUUUUAGUGUUUAUUUUUUUGAGUUUGGGAUUUUUACAUACAUUAUAUUAUCUCCUUCCAAUUUUUUAUUUCCCAUACAAUUUUUUCCUUUCCCUCCCCCCCCCCCCCCCCCCGGUAUCCAUUGGAAGGGUUCAAACAAUUCUCCUCACGGGCAUAGCAUCUUUAGUUUCCACCGAAUGUCUUUUGUUCCAGUAGUUUUUAUCCAUUUAAGAUAGGGGUUCCAUCUGUUCCUUAUUGUGGUGGACCUGAUCUUCCACGUUGUUUCCUGUGACAUGACUGCGACAAUGUCCGACUGAAUAAGUUCAAACAAAUAACUAUUCCAUGCCUCUACUGUCCAUUUUUCUCUAUCUUUCCAACCUAAAGCUAUUGUUGCCUUUCCCACUAAUAUCAUAGCUUUGCAGGUAAGCUGGUCACCUUUCUCUACAGCCGUGUUUCCAAGUUGUCAUGAAAUCAAAGUCUAUUGAAAGCUUCACUUUAAAAAUUUCAUUAAUAACCUUUAGGAUUUUAUUCCAGAAUUCCAUUACCUCUGGGCAUUCCCAGCACAUAUGGGAAAACCAUCCCUUGGCUUGUUUACAGUGCCAACAGUUAGCAUUCAAUCCUGGUACCAUAUUAGCUAGCUGAGCCAAAGUUCUGUACCAUUUUAGAAUUUUAAUUCCAGCUCUCUAAAUUGGGCUACAGGUUUUAUAACCCUGAUCUUCCUGUUCCUCAUUUUUCUUCUUUCGGAGGUUCCCGGUUGUGUUAGAGGCACCCUGGACAGAUCCCACUUCACCCAGAAUCCCUCCAAGACAUCCUGCUUCAGGAUUCAUACAAAUCGGCCGCACGCCUAUAAUCCUUUCAUGUAUUUUCUACCAGGCUGCAAAGAACAGAAGUAAUGCAGUUUCUUUCAUGGUAUAUUUUACCUGAAAUGUUGCAUAUCAAGAAAUAUAUUCUACUCUAUUUUGGGUGGAAUCCAACGUUACGCUGCUGUGAGCAUUCCAUCUGUGCAGGAAUUUCAGCUUGCCAGACAGAAUGAUGUUCCCUUUCCCCUCCUUGUGCACGGUUCCAGGGGUUGUCCUAACACACACACCCCGAGCCAAUUUUGGGAUGUGUGGAGGAGGACGGAAAACCCUGUUGCACAAACAGAAGUCCUUGCAUAGGGCUGCCGCUGGUGGGGCUUAUCAAGUGAACUUAACCAUAUUGGUUUAACAGGAAAUGCUUCAACACUAUAUUAAAUACAAUUUGAAAACUCUUUCUGUGUGUAUGUGUUUUGGAGUUACAGGUGGCACAAUUUGCUGGCAUGUUUUCACAUGAAUAUAUAAGGCAAACAUGUUGAUUUAUUUAAAAGGGUGACGUCAGAUUGUGUCUGUUUUCAUUUUCCUGAUUUUCACUGCUUGUAUUUUGCUGAUUUGUGAGAAGUAAGUACUUUGUUGUUGCUUAGCAACCUGAACUGCUGUGGUGGCUAAAGGUUCGGAGGAUUCGUACAUGUCUGUGCUAUAUGCAGCUGAAUGAUUUGAGGUGCCCUGUUAAGGAUAUUAAAAUAAUCCCUCUAUUUUCAAUUAUACUUGUUGUAAAGUAACACUAAUUGUAUUCUCACCCCCGCCCCGCCCCCAGGUACUUUGUGCUCUUAGAAGUGGGGGAAAUUAAUGUUUUCCCCACUACUAAUUGUGCACGCAGAAACCAAGUUAUUUCUUCAUUGUUGUGAACAGAGUGAUUUCACAGCAAUGUUAUCAAAAUGUGCAUACACCAGGAACUCAGAAAGAUAGAGAGCUGCCUUAAACAAAGACAAACUAUUGAUUAAUUUUGAUCACUUUGUCUACUAUGAGGGACACGCUGUGGUCUACACCACUGAGCCUCUUGGGCUUGCUGAUCGGAAGGUCAGCAGUUUGAAUCCCCACAACAGAGUGAGCUCCCAUUGCUCUGUCCCAACUCCUGCCAACCUAGCAGUUCGGAAGCACGCCAGUGUAAGUAGAUCAAAAUGUCUGUGGCAGGAAGGUAAACGGUGUUUCCAUGCACUCUGGUUUCCGUCACGGUUUCCCAUUGUGCCAGGAGCGGUUUAGUCAUGCUGGCCACAAGACCCGGAAAGCUGUCUGUGAAUAAAUGCCAGCUCCCUCAGCCUGAAAGUGAGAUGAGCGCUGCAACCCCAGUCGCCUUUGACUGGAUGUAACCAUCCAGGGGUCCUUUACCUUUUACAUUAUGAGUGUCAGCAAUAUCCCAGGGUUUCAGAGAGGGCAUCUCCUCCCAGCCCUAUAUAGCAGAGCUGGGGCUUGAACCAGGGAACAUCUGCCCACAAAGCAAAAGCUCUUUCUCAGAGGUUUGCCUGUUUUGUUCCUGCUGUGCUUGUGCUUCCAUUUCUAAGUGGGGCUCCAUGAAUCUCACUUUCCCUUCCCACCUCUUGCAGAUCUUAGGCCAAGACAGAAGACAUCUUUGGACAUUCUUUGAUCCUUUGAUGAACCCCAAAGAAGCAAGGAGUGGAGCAGUGUUGACCAGGC